ACCUAAUAGAUACCCUGGUAGUCCACGCCCUAAACGAUGCGAACUGGAUGUUGGGUACAUUAUGGUACUCAGUGUCGAAAGCUAACGCGUUAAGUUCGCCGCCUGGGGAGUACGGUCGCAAGACUGAAACUCAAAGGAAUUGACGGGGGUCCCGCACAAGCGGUGGAGUAUGUGGUUUAAAUUCGAUGCAACGCGAAGAACCUUACCUGGCCUUGACAUCUGUCGAAUCCUGCAGAGAUGCGGGAGUGCCGCAAGGAACGACAAGACAGGUGCUGCAUGGCUGUCGUCAGCUCGUGUCGUGAGAUGUUGGGUUUAAGUCCCGCAACGAGCGCAACCCGUUGUCCCUAGUUGCCAGCACAUCAUGGUGGGAA
rnacentral:rRNA from 1 species